rnacentral:rRNA from 1 species
UUGCUCUUGGGUGACGAGUGGCGGACGGGUGAGUAAUGUCUGGGAAACUGCCCGAUGGAGGGGGAUAACUACUGGAAACGGUAGCUAAUACCGCAUAACGUCUUCGGACCAAAGUGGGGGACCUUCGGGCCUCACACCAUCGGAUGUGCCCAGAUGGGAUUAGCUAGUAGGUGGGGUAACGGCUCACCUAGGCGACGAUCCCUAGCUGGUCUGAGAGGAUGACCAGCCACACUGGAACUGAGACACGGUCCAGACUCCUACGGGAGGCAGCAGUGGGGAAUAUUGCACAAUGGGCGCAAGCCUGAUGCAGCCAUGCCGCGUGUAUGAAGAAGGCCUUCGGGUUGUAAAGUACUUUCAGUGGGGAGGAAGGCGAUGAAGUUAAUAGCUUCGUCGAUUGACGUUACCCGCAGAAGAAGCACCGGCUAACUCCGUGCCAGCAGCCGCGGUAAUACGGAGGGUGCAAGCGUUAAUCGGAAUUACUGGGCGUAAAGCGCACGCAGGCGGUCUGUCAAGUCGGAUGUGAAAUCCCCGGGCUCAACCUGGGAACUGCAUUCGAAACUGGCAGGCUAGAGUCUUGUAGAGGGGGGUAGAAUUCCAGGUGUAGCGGUG